rnacentral:rRNA from 1 species
AUUGAACGCUGGCGGCAUGCCUUACACAUGCAAGUCGAACGGCAGCACGGGUGCUUGCACCUGGUGGCGAGUGGCGAACGGGUGAGUAAUACAUCGGAACAUGUCCUGUAGUGGGGGGUAGCCCGGCGAAAGCCGGAUUAAUACCGCAUACGAUCCACGGAUGAAAGCGGGGGACCUUCGGGCCUCGCGCUAUAGGGUUGGCCGAUGGCUGAUUAGCUAGUUGGUGGGGUAAAGGCCUACCAAGGCGACGAUCAGUAGCUGGUCUGAGAGGACGACCAGCCACACUGGGACUGAGACACGGCCCAGACUCCUACGGGAGGCAGCAGUGUGGAAUUUUGGACAAUGGGCGAAAGCCUGAUCCAGCAAUGCCGCGUGUGUGAAGAAGGCCUUCGGGUUGUAAAGCACUUUUGUCCGGAAAGAAAUCCUUGACUCUAAUACAGUCGGGGGAUGACGGUACCGGAAGAAUAAGCACCGGCUAACUACGUG